GACGAACGCUGGCGGCGUGCUUAACACAUGCAAGUCGAACGGAAAGGCCCCUUUGGGGGUCCUCGAGUGGCGAACGGGUGAGUAACACGUGAGUAACCUGCCCUUGACUUCGGGAUAACUUCAGGAAACUGGGGCUAAUACCGGAUAGGAAUCCUUGCUGCAUGGUGGGGGUUGGAAAGCUUCGGCGGUUUUGGAUGGACUCGCGGCCUAUCAGCUUGUUGGUGGGGUAGUGGCUUACCAAGGCUUUGACGGGUAGCCGGCCUGAGAGGGCGACCGGCCACAUUGGGACUGAGAUACGGCCCAGACUCCUACGGGAGGCAGCAGUGGGGAAUAUUGCACAAUGGGCGGAGGCCUGAUGCAGCAACGCCGCGUGCGGGAUGACGGCCUUCGGGUUGUAAACCGCUUUCAGCAGGGGCGAAGCUUUUGUGACGGUACCUGCAGAAGAAGCACCGGCUAACUACGUG
rnacentral:rRNA from 1 species